rnacentral:rRNA from 1 species
GACGAACGCUGGCGGCGUGCUUAACACAUGCAAGUCGAGCGGUAAGGCCCCCUUCGGGGGUACACGAGCGGCGAACGGGUGAGUAACACGUGGGUGACCUGCCCUCAGCUCUGGGAUAAGCCUGGGAAACUGGGUCUAAUACCGGAUAUGACUCCAUGACGCAUGUCGUGGGGUGGAAAGCCUUGUGCGGCUGGGGGAUGGGCCCGCGGCCUAUCAGCUUGUUGGUGGGGUGANGGCCUACCAAGGCGACGACGGGUAGCCGGCCUGAGAGGGCGACCGGCCACACUGGGACUGAGACACGGCCCAGACUCCUACGGGAGGCAGCAGUGGGGAAUCUUGCGCAAUGGGCGAAAGCCUGACGCAGCGACGCCGCGUGAGGGAUGACGGCCUGG